rnacentral:rRNA from 1 species
GACGAACGCUGGCGGCGUGCCUAAUACAUGCAAGUUGAGCGCUGAAGGUUGGUACUUGUACCGACUGGAUGAGCAGCGGACGGGUGAGUAACGCGUGGGGAAUCUGCCUUUGAGCGGGGGACAACAUUUGGAAACGAAUGCUAAUACCGCAUAACAACUUUAAACACAAGUUUUAAGUUUGAAAGAUGCAAUUGCAUCACUCAAAGAUGAUCCCGCGUUGUAUUAGCUAGUUGGUGAGGUAAAGGCUCACCAAGGCGAUGAUACAUAGCCGACCUGGGAGGGUGAUCGGCCACAUUGGGACUGAGACACGGCCCAAACUCCUACGGGAGGUAGCAGUAGGGAAUCUUCGGCAAUGGACGAAAGUCUGACCGAGCAACGCCGCGUGAGUGAAGAAGGUUUUCGGAUCGUAAAACUCUGUUGGUAGAGAAGAACGUUGGUGAGAGUGGAAAGCUCAUCAAGUGACGGUAACUACCCAGAAAGGGACGGCUAACUACGUGCCAGCCGCCGCCGUAA